CAUGAACGCUAGCUGGAGGCUUAAUACAUGCAAGUCGAGCGGGAUUGGUAGCAAUACCAUGAGAGCGGCGCACGGGUGAGUAACGCGUACACGACCUACCUCUGACAGGGGGAUAGCCCUGGGAAACUGGGAUUAAUACCGCAUAUUAUUCUGAUUAAUAAAGGAUUGGAAUGAAAGUUCAGGCGGUCAGAGAUGGGUGUGCGUCUGAUUAGCUAGUUGGUGGGGUCACGGCCUACCAAGGCGAUGAUCAGUAGGGGGCGUGAGAUCGUGGUGCCCCACACGGGUACUGGGACACCGACCCAACUCCUACGGGAGGCAGCAGUAAGGAAUAUUGGACAAUGGCCGCAAGGCUGAUCCAGCCAUCCAGCGUGCAGGAAGAAGGCCCUAUGGGUUGUAAACUGCUUUUAUCAGGGAAGAAACCUCUGGAUUUACUCCGGAGCUGACGGUACCUGAAGAAUAAGCACCGGCUAACUCCGUGCCAGCCGCCGCCGUAACAC
rnacentral:rRNA from 1 species